rnacentral:tRNA from 1 species
UAGUUCAGACGGUAAAGCGUCUGCCUGCAAUGCAGGAGACCCGGGUUCGAUCCCUGG